AGUCUGAUGGAGCAACGCCGCGUGAGUGAAGAAGGCUUUCGGGUCGUAAAACUCUGUUGUUGGAGAAGAAUGGUCGGCAGAGUAACUGUUGUCGGCGUGACGGUAUCCAACCAGAAAGCCACGGCUAACUACGUGCCAGCAGCCGCGGUAAUACGUAGGUGGCAAGCGUUAUCCGGAUUUAUUGGGCGUAAAGCGAGCGCAGGCGGUUUUUUAAGUCUGAUGUGAAAGCCCUCGGCUUAACCGAGGAAGUGCAUCGGAAACUGGGAAACUUGAGUGCAGAAGAGGACAGUGGAACUCCAUGUGUAGCGGUGAAAUGCGUAGAUAUAUGGAAGAACACCAGUGGCGAAGGCGGCUGUCUGGUCUGUAACUGACGCUGAGGCUCGAAAGCAUGGGUAGCGAACAGGAUUAGAUACCCUGGUAGUCCAUGCCGUAAACGAUGAAUGCUAGGUGUUGGAGGGUUUCCGCCCUUCAGUGCCGCAGCUAACGCAUUAAGCAUUCCGCCUGGGGAUUACGACCGCAAGGUUGAAACUCAAAGGAAUUGACGGGGGCCCGCACAAGCGGUGGAGCAUGUGGUU
rnacentral:rRNA from 2 species